rnacentral:rRNA from 1 species
GACGAACGCUGGCGGCGUGCUUAAUACAUGCAAGUCGAACGGACAGGCCCUGCUUUUGCUGGGUGCUCGAGUGGCGAACGGGUGUGUAACACGUGAGUAACCUCCCCUUGACUUUGGGAUAACUUCAGGAAACUGGGGCUAAUACCGGAUAGGAGCUCCUGCUGCAUGGUGGGGGUUGGAAAGUUUCGGCGGUUGGGGCUGGACUCGAGGUUUCUCAGCUUGUUGGUGGGGUAGUGGCUUACCAAGGCUUUGACGGGUAGCCGGCCUGAGAGGGUGACCGGCCACAUUGGGAUAGGGGUGCGGCCCAGACGCAUACGGGAGGCAGGAGUGGAGACUAUGGGGCAAAGGGCGGAGGGAUGAUGGAGCAACGCCGGGUGGGGGAAGACUGCUUUCGGGGUGGAAACCACUUGCGCGUGAGAAGAAGCGUGAGUGAGGGUAAUGGGUAGAGAAGCACCGGCUAACUACGG